ACACUCAGCCCUGGACCGAUGUGACUGGAGAUGUCUUGAGAUGGACAGGAACAGGCGCAGGGAGGAGCAGGAGGAGUGUAAAGCCCUUACAGGAGAAGCUGACUGCCCCUAGAUGAAGAGACCAGAAUGAGAAGGAGGCCAUUUAUGGUUUGCAAUUCAGAACAAGGACACCAUGAAAAGAAGAUGAUGGGCAGGAUUCUGAAAUGAAACCAUGACACACACUUGUAAGGUGAAACUGCAGUCACUUUUCAAAUCCAGAUGAACCACAAAAACCAAGCAGAACUGUACACAUCACAGGCAACUUCUCCUGAAAGAAACUGAGUUGGGCCCACCCAAAUGAGCAAGCACAAACAGAAACGUGUUGUCUUCCCAGAA
rnacentral:lncRNA from 1 species